rnacentral:rRNA from 1 species
UACGGGAGGCAGCAGUGGGGAAUAUUGCACAAUGGGCGCAAGCCUGAUGCAGCCAUGCCGCGUGUAUGAAGAAGGCCUUCGGGUUGUAAAGUACUUUCAGUCGUGAGGAAGGUGUUAAGGUUAAUAACCUUAGCAAUUGACGUUAGCGACAGAAGAAGCGCCGGCUAACUCCGUGCCAGCAGCCGCGGUAAUACGGAGGGUGCGAGCGUUAAUCGGAAUUACUGGGCGUAAAGGGCACGCAGGCGGUUAAUUAAGUUGGAUGUGAAAUCCCCGGGCUUAACCUGGGAAUGGCAUUCAAGACUGGUUAGCUAGAGUCUUGUAGAGGGGGUAGAAUUCCAUGUGUAGCGGUGAAAUGCGUAGAGAUGUGGAGGAAUACCGGUGGCGAAGGCGGCCCCUGGACAAAGACUGACGCUCAUGUGCGAAAGCGUGGGGAGCAAAC